CUGCGAAACCGGCCCCGCGUGGGCCGGUCGGCGGGGCGUGGUGGCCCCGUCCUGAUGAUGCAGCCGAGG
rnacentral:hammerhead_ribozyme from 1 species